rnacentral:rRNA from 1 species
UGCGGAGGGAUCAUUACACAAUACAAUAUGAAGGCUGUCCGCAGCUGGAGUAUUUUAUUACCCUUGUCUUUUGCGCACUUGUUGUUUCCUGGGCGGGUUCGCUCGCCACCAGGACCACCAAAUAAACCUUUUUUAUGCAGUUGCAAUCAGCGUCAGUACAAACAAUGUAAAUCAUUUACAACUUUCAACAACGGAUCUCUUGGUUCUGGCAUCGAUGAAGAACGCAGCGAAAUGCGAUACGUAGUGUGAAUUGCAGAAUUCAGUGAAUCAUCGAAUCUUUGAACGCACAUUGCGCCCUUUGGUAUUCCAAAGGGCAUGCCUGUUCGAGCGUCAUUUGUACCCUCAAGCUUUGCUUGGUGUUGGGCGUUUUUGUCUUUGGUCGCCCAAAGACUCGCCUUAAAGUGAUUGGCAGCCGGCCUUUCUGGUUUCGCAGCGCAGCACAUUUUUGCGCUUGCCAUCAGCAAAACGGCAAUCCAUCAAGCCUCCUUCUCACGUUUGACCUCGGAUCAGGUAGGGAUACCCGCUGAACUUAAGCAUAUCAAUAAG